GAAUACUUGUAAUUUUAUUAGUGCAAUCGUGCAAUCAUGGUUACCUGCAGGUUAUGAAAUGUAGACUGUCAGCGACACCUAAGCUUACCUCACUGAAACGACAACAGAUGACGUAACGACGGUUGCGAUUACCGGCGGAAUUCCCCACUAGUUAUAGCGUAUACUGAGCAAUAGUGAGUGUAGUUUCACAACUUGUAUUAUUUCAAAAUUUUUGUGAGAAGUACUUUUACGUAUCUUGAAAUGCUGGUUAGAAAGGAAAGAGUGUUUCCUGUCCAACCGUGCUGUACAGUCUACACCAUUAUGGAGUCAAAUUAAAUUGAAAUGUUCUACCUAGAUUAUACAGUUCGUGCAGGACUUAAAGGUCAAGAUACCGCUUUCCAUUUUCCAGAAGUAACAGUGGUUCCAACGAAAGUGACAGGCAUUGUAAUUUAUUGUUGUGAAACUUAAGUUCUAAAAAAAAUGUUUUGUAGAACUUCUUCAGGUAGAGGAAUGGGGGCAGACGGAAUUUCAAAUAUCUAAAACAUAUAUACUUAUUUGUUAUAGAAAGUACACUCACAAUGGACAAUACAGUUCUUCUGUAGUUUCUUAAACGUUAGCACCUCCUGUAGAAGAAAGAAACAGUACUAAAUUAGGUGAAUACAAUUUCUUUGUUCAUACAAAUAUAC